rnacentral:lncRNA from 1 species
CUACAUUUUAGGUCUGAUAUACUAGCACCAAGCUUGGAGCAAUAAAUAUUUAUUGAAUGAGCGAAGGAUUUUUUUUUUUAUAUUUUAUUUUUAGAAUUUAUUGAAGGAUUUUACUUAACCUUUAUUCGUAUCUGUAUGUACCAGCUCCAUACUUGCUAAUGAGGACAAAAAGGGGAUUGAGAUGCAAUCACAUUUACAUGAUAGGGCUCUGACAGUUAUAACAGAGAGUGAUAAAUGUUCUAAUGAAUUCAGGUCCCAGGAUUUGUCAGAAUGCUGAUGAUAAGUCAAUGUAUGGGUAGGAUGGGAACAAAAAGAGGGAGUUGAACUGAAUCAGUUCCACAUUUUUGUUCUCAUCCAUUCAUCCAGUAUUUAUUUAGAGUCUAUCAUGGGCCAAGCUAGGCAACUAAGCUUUUGUUUUUAACCAAACCCAGGAGACAAGCCACAAUCGUUGAACACAGAAGAAGAAUUGGAAUUAGCAUAUGAACAAGAGUACACUAAUGUGGUCUAAAUAGUCUUCCUGAGAACUGUAGGAAUGUGGGCAGCACAUGUUCUCAUGUGAGUGUGGCAAGUCAGGGACACCUUGGAGGGGCGUUUGGAGUUCAAGGCAGUGAUGGACAUGGAUUGGCAGGAAGGAGAGGAAGCUGAGACCUGUGUGAACUAUAGCAAUCCAUUCCCUUGUUUGAUGAGGUUGGGCCAACUGGGAGCCCUGGCAAGAAAGCAAGAACAAAAGUGAAGUGGUGGCAAAGUGCUGGACCAGAUGUUAGAAGUCUUCAGUUUGCUCUUGACAACAACAAUUCACAAUGUAACCCUGAGAAAAGUCAUCUCUGUUUCCCCACUGGUAAAAUGAUUGUGAGAAAAAUAGGGUCUAAUGGGACUUAUGUAGAGGACUGGGAAGCUGAGCUGUGAAAUGACCCCAAGGUUUCUGGUCACAAUGGCUUCUCUUUUGUACCCAGUUCUUUGCUCCUCAAGGAGCCUUGUUUUCUGUACUUGUGAAUAUUUGAACCAACCAAUAAAGAUUUAAUGGCAAUGUAGAAAGUUACUUUUCCUCCCUGGGCAUUCAUUUCUUCAUUUUGUGAAAUCAGAACAUCAGACUCAGUUUGAUAUAAACAGACUUUUCUGAAAAGAAGA